rnacentral:lncRNA from 1 species
GCAAUGCCAGAGGGAGGCUUGUGCAAAUAUUCUCAUAGAUUCUGGUGCUGAUCCAAAUAUUGUAGAUGUGUAUGGCAACACAGCUGUCCAUUAUGCUGUUAACAGUGAGAAUUUGUCAGUGGUGGCAAAAUUGCUGUCCUGUGGUGCAGACAUUGAAGUGAAGAACAAGGCUGGCCACACACCACUUUUAUUGGCCAUAAGGAAAAGAAGUGAGCAAAUUGUGGAAUUUUUACUGACAAAAAAAUGCAAAUGCAAAUGGAGUUGAUAAGUUUAAAUGCAUUCAUCAACAACUUUUGGAAUAUAAACAAAAGAUAUCUAAAAAUUCUCAAAAUAGUAAUCCAGAAGGAACAUCUGAAGGAACACCUGACGAGGCUGCACCCUUGGCGGAAAGAACAGCUGACACGGCCGAAAGCUUGGUGGAAAGAACACCUGACGAAUAGGAUACAGUGAAUUCCUCUUCAAAGAUUUUAGCCUGUAAACAUCCUUUAAAAUUCAAGAGGGGGGAAGAUUAAGUACAAUGAGUUCUGAGUUCCUCAUCAAAGAACAAAUAUGUCAGUA